rnacentral:rRNA from 1 species
GAUGAACGCUGGCGGCGUGCCUAAUACAUGCAAGUCGAGCGAGCGGACGAGAAGCUUGCUUCUCUGAUGUUAGCGGCGGACGGGUGAGUAACACGUGGAUAACCUACCUAUAAGACUGGGAUAACUUCGGGAAACCGGAGCUAAUACCGGAUAAUAUUUUGAACCGCAUGGUUCAAAAGUGAAAGACGGUCUUGCUGUCACUUAUAGAUGGAUCCGCGCUGCAUUAGCUAGUUGGUAAGGUAACGGCUUACCAAGGCAACGAUGCAUAGCCGACCUGAGAGGUUGAUCGGCCACACUGGAACUGAGACACGGUCCAGACUCCUACGGGAGGCAGCAGUAGGGAAUCUUCCGCAAUGGGCGAAAGCCUGACGGAGCAACGCCGCGUGAGUGAUGAAGGUCUUCGGAUCGUAAAACUCUGUUAUUAGGGAAGAACAUAUGUGUAAGUAACUGUGCACAUCUUGACGGUACCUAACCAGAAAGCCACGGCUAACUACGUG